AGAGCUGUGGAGUGUGACAAUGGUGUUUGUGUCCAUCUAUCAAACGCCAUUAUCACACUAAAUAGUUCC
rnacentral:pre_miRNA from 1 species